GGUGUGGGGUGUCUCACUUGGGCUCAGCCUGGAACUGCUCUGCCCUGCUCCGUGGAUCAGUGGGUAGCUGGAAUAGGGCUCCGAGUGUCAGGUCAGCGUGUCAGUUCCCUUAGACAGUGGAGCCGCUGGCUGUCCAGUGGGUGAGCAGGAUGGUCUUGCGAUGCCCUGCUUGGGUGUAUAGAGUCCCGGCUAGGGAGAGUAGCUAAGAGUGUCUAGGGUUUAGAGGUUUUUGGCUUUGGUUGUGAGUAAUCCCUGAAUGUUUGAGAGCUGAGUGUUUGAGCCUUUCCCCCUUUCAUUUGCGGGGGCGGUCUUGGGAGCAGCUGAAGAGAGAGGAGCUUUGUAGGUGAGUUGGGGAGGCAGCAGGAGGAGCGGGGAUCCACUGCAGCUUUAGAGAUGCCGUCUAAUUUUGUGUCUCACUCACUCAGGUAUCCCGGAAGGUGAGAGCCACAGUGUCGGACUCCGGUCAGGGCCUGGGUGCUGUUAACUUCGAGUACUCUCACGACGACAGGAACCUCUGAGCCAGCCCAGGUGGCCCUCCUGUGCCUCAAAGAUGGAUUGGCAUCCCCGGCUCUCGGCAAGAUAAGUGCCGGGCAAAGAUCCAGAGAGGGGCUGGGAGUCGGUGCAAGUCUGUGCCUCUUCUGGAGGAAUUUUGGAAAUUAGUCUGGUGCAAGGGGUAUCCUGUAACAGGUUAUUUGGACACAUCAAAGGAAGGUCUUACUUUGUAUCAUUGGAUUCCUGUGUGCCGGGCAGAGCAGUUCCAGUCUCUGUCACGUCCUUUGUCUUGUCCAUGUUUUGUGUCCUUUGUCUCUUAAUUGUGUCACAUGGUGUGUGUUGUCACGGGUACAGGACACUCAGGUU